rnacentral:rRNA from 1 species
UACGUAGGGUGCGAGCGUUGUCCGAAUUAUUGGGCGUAAAGAGCUCGUAGGCGGUCUGUCGCGUCGGUCGUGAAAACUUGGGGCUUAACCCUGAGCUUGCGGUCGAUACGGGCAUGACUGGAGUUCGGCAGGGGAGACUGGAAUUCCUGGUGUAGCGGUGAAAUGCGCAGAUAUCAGGAGGAACACCGGUGGCGAAGGCGGGUCUCUGGGCCGAUACUGACGCUGAGGAGCGAAAGCGUGGGGAGCGAACAGG